GAAUCUAGCUCUAGGUCGGGGACAACCACUGAGAAACGGUGGCUAAUACCGGAUGUGCCGAAAGGUGAAAGGCUUGCUGCCUAGAGAUGAGCUCGCGUCUGAUUAGCUAGUUGGUGUGGUAAGAGCGCACCAAGGCGACGAUCAGUAGCUGGUCUGAGAGGAUGAUCAGCCACACUGGGACUGAGACACGGCCCAGACUCCUACGGGAGGCAGCAGUGGGGAAUUUUCCGCAAUGGGCGAAAGCCUGACGGAGCAAUACCGCGUGAGGGAGGAAGGCUCUUGGGUUGUAAACCUCUUUUCUCAAGGAAUAAGAAAGUGAAGGUACUUGAGGAAUAAGCAUCGGCUAACUCCGUGCCAGCAGCCGCGGUAAUACGGAGGAUGCAAGCGUUAUCCGGAAUGAUUGGGCGUAAAGGGUCCGCAGGUGGCACUGAAAGUCUGCUGUUAAAGAGUGAGGCUCAACCUCAUAAGAGCAGUGGAAACUACAGAGCUAGAGUGCGUUCGGGGUAGCAGGAAUUCCUGGUGUAGCGGUGAAAUGCGUAGAGAUCAGGAAGAACACCGGUGGCGAAAGCGUGCUACUAGGCCGUAACUGACACUGAGGGACGAAAGCUAGGGGAGCGAAUGGGAUUAGAUACCCCAGUAGUCCUAGCCGUAAACGAUGGAUACUAGGCGUGGCUUGUAUCGACCCGAGCCGUGCCGGAGCUAACGCGUUAAGUAUCCCGCCUGGGGAGUACGCACGCAAGUGUGAAACUCAAAGGAAUUGACGGGGGCCCGCACAAGCGGUGGAGUAUGUGGUUUAAUUCGAUGCAACGCGAAGAACCUUACCAAGACUUGA
rnacentral:rRNA from 1 species